rnacentral:rRNA from 1 species
GACGAACGCUGGCGGCGCGCCUAACACAUGCAAGUCGAACGGAGUUGUGUUGAAAGCUUGCUGGAUAUACAACUUAGUGGCGGACGGGUGAGUAACACGUGAGUAACCUGCCUUUCAGAGUGGAAUAACGUUUGGAAACGAACGCUAAUACCGCAUAACAUGAAAGAACGGCAUCGUUCUUUCAUCAAAGAUUUUAUCGCUGAGAGAUGGGCUCGCGGCCGAUUAGGUAGUUGGUGAGAUAAUAGCCCACCAAGCCGACGAUCGGUAGCCGGACUGAGAGGUUGAACGGCCACAUUGGGACUGAGACACGGCCCAGACUCCUACGGGAGGCAGCAGUGGGGGAUAUUGCACAAUGGAGGAAACUCUGAUGCAGCGACGCCGCGUGAGGGAAGACGGUCUUCGGAUUGUAAACCUCUGUCUUUAGGGACGAAAAAAUGACGGUACCUAAGGAGGAAGCCACGGCUAACUACGUGCCAGCAGCCGCGGUAAUACGUAGGUGGCAAGCGUUGUCCGGAAUUACUGGGUGUAAAGGGAGCGUAGGCGGGGAGACAAGUUGAAUGUUUAAACUAUCGGCUCAACUGAUAGUCGCGUUCAAAACUAUCACUCUUGAGUGCAGUAGAGGUAGGCGGAAUUCCUAGUGUAGCGGUGAAAUGCGUAGAUAUUAGGAGGAACACCAGUGGCGA